GAUGAAGAACGUAGCGAAAUGCGAAAAGUAAUGUGAAUUGCAGAAUUCAGUGAAUCAUCGAAUCUUUGAACGCACAUUGCGCCCGCCAGUAUUCUGGCGGGCAUGCCUGUCUGAGCGUCAUUUCAACCCUCAUGCCCCUAGGGCGUGGUGUUGGGGAUCGGCCAGCGCCCGCGAGGGACGGCCGGCCCCUAAAUCUAGUGGCGGACCCGUCGUGGCCUCCCCUGCGAAGUAGUGAUAUUCCGCAUAGGAGAGCGACGAGCCCCUGCCGUUAAACCCCCAACUUUCUAAGGUUGACCUCAGAUCAGGUAGGAAUACCCGCUGAACUUAAGCAUAUCAAUAAGCGGAGG
rnacentral:misc_RNA from 1 species